rnacentral:lncRNA from 1 species
GAGCAGGUCACAUCUUAUGUGGAUGGCAGCAGGCAAAGAGAGAGCUUGUGCAGGGCAACUCCCAUUUUUAUCACAAGAAAAGCAUGGGAAAGACUCGCCCUCACAAUUCAAUCAUCUCCCACCGCAGGCUCCACUUCUAAUUCUAGUUCUCUUGCUGUUUCCACCAUAUCUGCUCCUCUGCUAAAGUCUUGAACUUCUCAGUCAUCCAUAAGGGUUGGAAUGAAUUUCUUCCAAAUUCCUGUUAGUGUUGAUAUUUUUACCUUCUCUCAUGAAUCACGAAUAUUCCUAAUAGCAUCUAGAAUGGCAAAUCCUUUCCAGAAGGCUUUCAAUUUACUUUGCCCAGCUUCAUAUGGACUACAGAAUGAAUGUUGUUUGCAGUCAUGAAAACAUUAUUAAUCUCCUUGUAUAUCUCCAUCAGUACUCUUGAGUGACCAGGUGCCAUCUUCAAUGUACAAUAAUAUUUUGAAAGGAAUCUUUUUUUCUUGUAAUAGGAGUGAGUUCUCACGAGAUCUAAUUGUUUAAAAGUGUGUAGCAUCUCCCCCUUCUCUCUCUUCUUCCUGCUCCUGCCACGUAAGACAUGCCUGCUUCCCCUUCUACCAGGAUUGAAAGUUUCCUGAGGCCUCCCCUGCCAUGUUUCGUGUAUAGCCUGUGGAACUGUGAACCCAUUAAACCUCUUUUCUUUAUAAAUUACCCAGUUUCAGGCAUUUCUUUAUAUCAGUAUGAGAAGGGACUAGUCCAAGGUCUCAACUGUGGGCUUAAAAUAUU